GCUGUGUUGGUCUAACGGUUAUGAUGGAACCUUCCCAAGGAAGUUAGGUUUCGAACGGGGUUCGACUCCCCGACACAGCA